GAGCAUCGACCAAUUUUAGUUAAGUAUUAUAGAAGUAGAUUUUAAAGUUUCUUAAUUUAAUAGUGGUUGAUUAGUCAUCUUGUUAUAUAUUCCAAGUGGUGACGAGGAGAUUGGAAGAGCCUAUCGACCAUCUUAGGUUCAGCUUGUAUUAUGUGAGUAGAUAAGUUUAUUUUUCAGAAAUCAGUAUUAUUUAAUUUAUAUUAACUCAGAAAAUUUAUUAAUUUAUAUAGUUGAUUUGACAAUACGAUUUUUAGAAUAAAGUUGAUUUAUAACCAUUGUUUUUAAAAGUUAAAUUCAAUUUAGUAAAUCAUUUUAUUAGCAUGUUAUUUUAGUAUUAAAUAUUUCAGUAUAUUCAAAGUUAUUUUAAAACAACCAGAAAGUACCCUAAGUGACUUUACCCUCGUCUGCACUAGUGUGAAUGUGUUUCCACAGCGUAUGACUUCAUAUGGUUAUUUUACCCACUCUGCGCUGGUGUGAAUGUGUUUCCACAGCAUAUGAUCAGUAUAGUGAUUUUACUCGCUCUGCACUAUUGUGAAUGUGUUUCCAUAGUGUAUGACCAUUUUAUAGUUCUGCGCACGUACGACCAGAAUUACAGAAUUUUAGAAUUGAAUAACCUUGCUAUGUAUAUUGAGAUUAAUCGAUUCAUGAGUAUGGUUAUUCCAGGUACAUUUUUGGUGUGAUGUUUCAGUAUCACAUAGCUUAUCAGAUUUUAGAAAUGCAGUAUACAGAAUAAAGAUGUUUAUGAUUAUAGUAUAUUUUAGUUUUGAUUGUAUCAUCAGAUUUAAUCUAAAAAACUUAGUCUAUUCAGUUUAAAGAAUAAAUAUUUUAGUUUAUAUGUCUGUGAAAAGAAAUUUUAUGCUAUAUGUCGAUUUUCAGAAAGAUUUUAUGAAUGGAAAAUUAUAUUUUUGCAAAUAUCCACUCACUGAGUUAUAGGCUCACAUUUUUAUCACUAUUUCUCUUAUCAGAUAGUAGUUGAGUUGAACACUACUGGGCCAGUUGAGCCAUAGCUUGUCAAGCAUUGUAUGAAUUAUCUUUUCAGUUUAAUAGUUCAUAUUUUGGGAUAGACACCUCUUUUGGUCAUAAAUUAGUUCCAUGUGUUGGACUUGCUAUGUUUUGUAUAUAUAUUAUGCAUUUUGGGUACUGUGGUUUAGAAAUUGUCGCAAAAGUCGAAUUGCCAGUGUUGUAUUUGAAUAGUUGAUAUUUUGAGGGGCCGAUGUACCCUAUUUUGAAUGAUAUGUACAUGUUUGGGAUAUUUGAUUUUAUUUUCAGGUGGUUUUAGACCAUUUUUUAGAGGGAACUCUGUCGAAAUUUUUAUAAAAUUAUAACAGUCAAAGCAUGUCAAGUUUGCCUUGGUGGUGGGUCUGGCACUUCGCUGGUAUCUACCAUCAGCACACGACACGUGUCGGAUCCAUUAGGGUGAUCGGGACGGGUCGUGUCAAUUGGUAUCAGACCAUGGUUAUAAAGUCAGUUUGCAUGGUUUAUUUGAAUUUUGUUCUCAUCAUAUCAUACAUAUUUUGUAGUUGGAAGUCAUGGCUCGUGGUAAUAAGACACGCAGGCUCCAAGAUAGGUCGUCUCAACCACCAGCUGCUCCUGAUAGGGAUGCUAGUAGGGACGAGGAAUCAGUUCAUCCGACCCAUGAUUAGCAGAGAUAUGGGGAUGUAGCCCGGCCUGACAUAAUAGCUGAUAGGAUUGCCACCGCUGUUGCUUCUGCUCUACGCAAUACAGAUAAAGAUUUUAGUAUAGAGCGGGCUACUAAACUAGGAGCUAAAGUAUUUACAGGCACAACUGAUCCAGUAGAAGCAGAAUCAUGGAUGGUGAGAAUUGAAAGAAUAUUUGAUGUGAUGGAUUAUCCUAAUGAUUAAAAAUUACGACUAGCUACUUUCUUGUUAGAAGGAAGUGCUUAUGAUUGGUGGAGGUCCGUACAGAGUAAAUAUGUUUAUGCUUCUGUGAUCACGUGGGGCGAGUUUAAAGAUGAUUUUAAUGAGCAUUUCUAUCCUCGUUCUUACAAAACUGACAAACAGAAUGAAUUUUUGAGACUAGUACGGAUAUCAACAGUGGCGGAGUAUCAGAAGAAAUUUCUAGAAUUAUCAAAGUAUGUUGCUGGUCUUGUAGCUGAUGAAGUUGAUAAAUGCAGAAGAUUUGAGUAUGACCUGAGAGAAGAAAUUAGAUCAGUGGUGACUGCAUAUGGGUAUGAAAAUUUGGGUAAACUUGUAGAAGCAGCAUUAAGAGUUGAGAAAAGUUUGUCUGAAUGACAUGGUGGUCAACAACAAAUGAGACCAGAAAUUAUAAGCAAUAGUCAGACAUGGGUAGGAAGAUCUAUGACUAGGCCACCGAGGAGGGAUCGCAGAGGAGGUGGAUUAGGUGUCUCCACUUCUGGUAGUUUUAAGUCUAGAUCUCAUAGCAGUCAGAGCUCGAGAUCGAGUCAGGGAUCAGUACAGCAGCCAAGGAGUAACCGUACUCAGACUCAGAGAUCUUCUCAGAGAUCAUUUACUCCUGGACAGAGUGAUAGCUAGUGCGGCCAGAUUUCCCUAGUGCCAGCUGUGCGAGAAAUCUCACCCUGGUGAGUGUCUUAAGGAAAUUGGAGUGUGUUAUCACUGUGGUCAGAUGGGACACAUGAGGAGAGAGUGUCCAGUUCGUUUCCAGCAGGGUGGCAUUCCACAGGGGGUUUCUUUGCAGUCGGGUACUGGCAUUUCUAGACAGAAUCGAAAUCAGAAUAGUUUGGCAGGCAAAGCAGGUGCUACUAGUGCUACUCAGUUUGAUGCUGCUGGCAGCAGUAGUACUAGACAAAAAGGCCAGACUGGACGAUCCAGAACUCAGGGAAGAGUGUUUGCAGUGACUCAGCAUGAUGCUGACGAUUCACCUGAUGUAGUUAUGGGUACGUUAUCUAUUUUUGGCAAAAAGGCCCGUUCUUUAAUAGAUUCAGGCGCUACACAUUCAUUUAUAUCUUAUGCAUUUGCUAUUUAUGCGGACCAUAUGUCAGAAUCAUUAGAUAGUGAUUUGGUGCUAGCAACUCCUGUAGGAGAUUCGCUUUUAGCUAACAGUGUGUACAAAGAUUGCGUGAUUAGUGUGAAUGAUCAUGAGUUGAAAGCUAAUUUGAUUCCACUUGAUAUUCAUGAUUUUGAUGUGACAUUGGGCAUGGAUUUUUUGUCUGUGAAUCAUGCAUUAGUUGAUAAUUUUGGCGUUUCGAAGGCCAGGAGAGCCUGAAAUCAUUUUUAGUGGUGAACAAAGAAUACUACCUUCAUGUAUCAUAUCAGCACUUGAUGCUGGGAGAUUGCUUAGAAAAGGUUGUCAAGCAUAUUUAACUCAUGUGAUUGACACUCAGAUCACUAAAUUGAAACUUGAAGAUAUACCAGUGGUAAAAGAUUUCCCUGAUGUUUUUCCUGAAGAUCUUCCAGGGUUACCUCCUGAUAGGGAAAUCGAGUUUACUAUUGAUUUGAUUCCAGGGACUACCCCUAUUUCACAAUCACCUUACAGAAUGGCUCCAGCAGAGCUGAAGGAAUUGAAAGUUCAGUUGCAGGAUUUAGUUGAUAAGGGUGUCAUUAGACCUAGUGUAUCUCCAUGGGGAGCUCCAGUCUUGUUUGUGAAGAAGAAAGAUGGCACAAUGAGAUUGUGUAUUGACUACAGACAGUUGAAUAAAGUGACAGUCCGCAACAAGUAUCCGUUGCCUCGCAUUGAUGAUUUGUUUGACCAACUUAGAGGUGCCUCAGUGUUUUCAAAAAUUGAUUUGCGUUCGGGGUAUCAUCAGCUCAGAAUUAGAGAUACCGAUGUACCAAAAACUGCUUUUAGGUCACGGUAUGGCCAUUAUGAGUUUUUGGUGAUGCCAUUUGGGUUGACUAAUGCCCCUGCAGUGUUCAUGGACUUGAUGAAUAGAGUGCUUCGCCCAUAUUUAGACAGAUUUGUGAUUGUUUUUAUUGAUGAUAUCUUAGUUUAUUCUCGCAGUAGAGAUGAGCAUGCUGAGCAUUUGAGGAUUAUUUUGCAGACUUUGCGAGAUAAGCAGUUGUAUGCCAAAUUCAGCAAAUGUGAAUUUUGGCUGGAUAAAGAUGUAUUUUUGGGUCAUGUUAUCUCAGCUGAAGGUAUUUAUGUAGAUCCUCAGAAAAUUGAAGCAAUAAUGAAAUGGGAACGCCCUACUAAUGUUACAGAAGUACGGAGUUUUCUUGGGUUAACAGGUUAUUAUCGUCGAUUUGUAGAGGAUUUUUCCAAAAUUGCUCUUCCUUUGACUAGUUUGACUCGAAAGAACUCCAAAUUUGUGUGGACUGAUGAAUGUGAAAAGAGUUUUCAAGAGUUGAAGAAAAUAUUAGUUUCUGCUUCUAUACUUACCCUUCCAUCUCCAGGUGAAGAGUUUGUGAUUUAUAGUGAUGCUUCACGCCAAGGAUUGGGUUGUGUUCUAAUGCAGAAUGGGAAAGUUGUAGCUUAUGCUUCUAGACAAUUGAAGAAGCAUGAAUUAAAUUACCCAACUCAUGAUUUGGAGUUAGCUGCAGUAGUGUUGGCAUUGAAGAUUUGGAGACAUUAUCUUUAUGGUGAGAAAUGUCAAAUAUUUACUGAUCACAAAAGUUUAAUGUAUAUAUUUGAUCAGAAAGAACUGAAUCUAAGGCAAAGGAGAUGGUUGGAGUUGAUAAAGGAUUAUGAUUGUAAGAUUGACUACCAUCCGGGAAGAGCAAAUGUAGUUGCAGACGCUCUUAGUAGAAAGACAAGUUCAUCCUCUUUCAUCAAGUGCAGUUUAUGCUUCUUUGAUUUGUGAGUUCAAGAAGUUACACACUGAGUUGACAACUACUACUUCAGGGGCGCUAUUAGCUCAUUUUCAGGUGAGGCCUACUUUGAUUGAUAAGAUUAGAGAAGCUCAAUCUCAAGACCAGACAUUGAGAAUAUUGAAAGUAGAAGUUAGUACUGGGUUAAGAACGGAUUAUGUGAUUAGAGAUGGUGGGGCGUUGGCUAUGGGUAAUAGAUUAUGUGUUCCAAAUAUUCCAGAGUUGAAGAAAGAGAUUUUGGAAGAAGCCCACGGUUCUGCUUAGGCUAUGCAUCCAGGCAGUAUUAAAAUGUAUCAUACAUUGAAAGAUCAUUAUUGGUGGCUUGGAAUGAAGAAAGAAAUAGCAGAUUUUGUAUCCAAAUGUCUUAUAUGUCAGCAGGUAAAGCCAGUUCGUCAGAAAACAACGGGACUUUUACAGCCAUUGCCUAUUCCAGAGUGGAAAUGGGAGCACAUUACUAUGGACUUUUUAUUUGGUCUUCCUCGUACUCAAAAUGGUCAUGAUGGAGUUUGGGUGAUUGUAGAUCGUUUAACCAAAACUGCCAAGUUCUUGCCGAUCAAAGCCACUUAUACUUUAAAUAAGUUGGCAAAGUUGUAUGUGGAUGAAAUAGUGAGCUCUUAUGGUAGUCCCUUAUCUAUUGUGUCAGAUAAAGACCCUCGUUUUAUAUCUAAAUUUUGGCCCAGUUUGCAGGAAGUCAUGGGGUACUAAACUACAAUUCAGUACAACUUUUCAUCCUCAGACAGAUGGCCAGUCAAAGAGAACCAUACAGACUCUUGAGGAUAUGUUGAGGGCUUGUGUUUUAGAGCUCAAGGGUAGUUGGGAUACUCAUUUGUCAUUGAUGGAGUUUGCUUACAAUAACAGCUACCACUCUAGUAUAGAAAUGGCUCCUUUUGAAGCUUUAUAUGGUCGGAAGUGCAGGACACCAGUUUGUUGGGAUGAAGAUGGUAAGAGGAAGUUAAAAGGCCCGGAAUUGGUUCAAAUGACAUCCGAAAAUGUGAAAUUGAUUAAAGAAAAGUUGAAAGCAGCUUAGGAUAGACAGAAAAGUUAUGGGAUAAGUGCAGGAAAAGACCUUGAAUUUGCAGUAGGAGAUAAAGUUUUUCUUAAAUUAUCUCCUUGGAAAGAGGUGUUAAGAUUUGGCAAGCAAGAAAAGUUGAGUCCACGAUAUAUUGGACCCUGUGAGAUUACUGAGCGGAUUGGUCCAGUUGCAUAUCGAUUAGAUCUGCCCAAUGAAUUAUCCUGGAUCUAUGAUGUUUUUCAUGUUUCCAUGCUUCGCAAGUACAUUGCUGAUCCUUCUCAUGUUCUGGAAUCUCAGCCAAUUUAGUUGAAGGAGAAUUUGACUUAUAUAGUAGAGCCAGUGAAAAUCUUAGACAAGAAAGUGCAAACUCAACAAAACUAGACAGUUUCACUUGUUAAAGUACUUUUGCAGAAUCAGACAGUAGAAGAGGCUACAUGGGAGAACAAGGAUCAGAUGCGUGCUCAAUAUCCUCGUUUAUUCAUUGCCUAGUCAGUUGUCAGUUGAAUUUCGAGGACGAAAUUCUUUUAAAGAGGUAAGAUUAUUACAACCCACAUUUUUAUCUAGUCAAAGUCAAUAAUGAAAUUUUCAAAGUCAAGUCACAUGAGAACUUGUAUGAAAUAAAUCAUUUUUAUUGGGACUUGAUUGACCAAAUCAUUUUAUUUGGGUUUAUUUUGCAAUUGACAAAAUAUGAAGGUUAAAUUGGAUACAUUUCAAAGUUUGGAAUUUACUUAUAUAUUUUUGGAAGUUUAGGAUUAAAUGUGAUAUAAAAAUGGAGUUGGAGGACUUUCCUUGCAAUUUUUGAAUAAGUGGAAUUUAUAUUCAACAUUUGACCCAUUUUUCACUCAAAAUCACACACACACACACAGUGAGAAAUGGGCAGCAAGCUGGACGGAAAAAGAGAGAAAAAAUUAGGGGAAAAAGGGAAAGAAGGAAGGAAAGAAGAAAAUGGAAGAAGAAGAAAAGAGGUAAGGCUAAUUUUUUCAAGAUUGGGUUGAAUUUUUCCAUUUGUUUCAAGUGAUAAAGUAUGAAUUAUGUUAAAAUUUUAGGGUUUUAUUUUGGCUCGAAAUUUUCUAAUUUUUUUUUGAGAUGAAUGCUACUUGGAGCACAAGUUAUUGAUUCUUGAAUUUCUAUCUACAUUAAGGUAAGGAGAUAUCAAUUUUUUUUUUUUUUUUUGGGAAACCCUAGAAUUCGAUUUUGGGAUUUUUGAUUAAUUAAUUGUGGAAAUGAUUAUAUAAACGGAAUAUUUCACUUGGGAGUUGAUUUUAUAUAACAAAUGUAUAUUAAAUGGGUGGAAUUGUGGUUACUAGUUUCACUAGAUUGGAGACUAAAAUUAGUUUUAAACUUGGGGAGAAGGUUUUGUUGAUGAAUUAAUUAUUAGAAAAGGGAUUAGAAAGUGGGAUUAGCUCCAAUUGAUCAAAAGAAUAUUUGGGAAAUUCAUUCGAGCAUCGACCAAUUUUAGUUAAGUAUUAUAGAAGUAGAUCUUAAAGUUUCUUAAUUUAAUAGUGGUUGAUUAGUCAUCUUGUUAUAUAUUUCAAGUGGUGACGAGGAGAUUGGAAGAGUCUAUCGACCAUCUUAGGUUCAGCUUGUAUUAUGUGAGUGGAUAAGCUUAUUUUUCAGAAAUCAGUAUUAUUUAAUUUAUAUUAACUCAGAAAAUUU
rnacentral:lncRNA from 1 species